rnacentral:rRNA from 1 species
GACGAACGCUGGCGGCGUGCUUAACACAUGCAAGUCGAACGAUGAAGCCUAGCUUGCUAGGUGGAUUAGUGGCGAACGGGUGAGUAAUACGUGAGUGACCUACCUUUGACUCUGGGAUAAGCCUGGGAAACUGGGUCUAAUACCGGAUACGACCAAUCUCCGCAUGGGGUGUUGGUGGAAAGCGUUAUGGAGUGGUUUUAGAUGGGCUCACGGCCUAUCAGCUUGUUGGUGAGGUAAUGGCUUACCAAGGCGACGACGGGUAGCCGGCCUGAGAGGGUGACCGGCCACACUGGGACUGAGACACGGCCCAGACUCCUACGGGAGGCAGCAGUGGGGAAUAUUGCACAAUGGGCGCAAGCCUGAUGCAGCGACGCCGCGUGAGGGAUGACGGCCUUCGGGUUGUAAACCUCUGUUAGCAUCGAAGAAGCGAAAGUGACGGUAGGUGCAGAGAAAGCGCCGGCUAACUACGUGCCAGCAGCCGCGGUAAUACGUAGGGCGCGAGCGUUGUCCGGAAUUAUUGGGCGUAAAGAGCUUGUAGGCGGUUGGUCGCGUCUGCUGUGAAAGGCUGGGGCUUAACCCUGGUUUUGCAGUGGGUACGGGCUAACUAGAGUGCAGUAGGGGAGACUGGAAUUCCUGGUGUAGCGGUGGAAUGCGCAGAUAUCAGGAGGAACACCGAUGGCGAAGGCAGGUCUCUGGGCUGUAACUGACGCUGAGAAGCGAAAGCAUGGGGAGCGAACAGGAUUAGAUACCCUGGUAGUCAUGCCGUAAACGUUGGGCACUAGGUGUGGGGGACAUUCCACGUUUUCCGCGCCGUAGCUAACGCAUUAAGUGCCCCGCCUGGGGAGUACGGCCGCAAGGCUAAAACUCAAAGAAAUUGACGGGGGCCCGCACAAGCGGCGGAGCAUGCGGAUUAAUUCGAUGCAACGCGAAGAACCUUACCAAGGCUUGACAUAUACUGGACUGCGUCAGAGAUGGCGUUUCCCUUCGGGGCUGGUAUACAGGUGGUGCAUGGUUGUCGUCAGCUCGUGUCGUGAGAUGUUGGGUUAAGUCCCGCAACGAGCGCAACCCUCGUUCUAUGUUGCCAGCACGUGAUGGUGGGGACUCAUAGGAGACUGCCGGGGUUAACUCGGAGGAAGGUGGGGAUGACGUCAAAUCAUCAUGCCCCUUAUGUCUUGGGCUUCACGCAUGCUACAAUGGCCGGUACAGAGGGUUGCGAUACUGUGAGGUGGAGCUAAUCCCUAAAGGCCGGUCUCAGUUCGGAUUGGGGUCUGCAACUCGACCCCAUGAAGUCGGAGUCGCUAGUAAUCGCAGAUCAGCAACGCUGCGGUGAAUACGUUCCCGGGCCU